GACAGCCUGCAGCACGAGCUGGACCUUGAAAGGAAGCUGAGGAAGACCGCUGAAGCUGAUGUAGCUUCUCUGAACAGAUUCAUCCAGCUGGUUGAGGAAGAGUUGGAUCGUGCUCAAGAGCGUCUGGCAACAGCUUUGCAGAAGCUGGUGGAGGCUGAAAAAGCAGCAGAUGAAAGCGAGAGAGGCAUGAAAGUCAUUGAAAGUGAGCCCAAAAGGAUGAAGAAAAAAUGGAAAUUCAGGAGAUCCAACUGAAAGAGGCCAAGCACAUUGCUGAAGAUGCCGACCGAAAAUAUGAAGAGGGGCCCGUAAGCUGGUCAUCAUUGAAAGUGACCUGGAAUGUGCAGAGGAGGGGGCUGAGCUCUCAGAAGGCCAAGUUCAACAGCUGGAAGAACAAUUAAGAAUAAUGGAUCAGACCUUGAAAGCAUUAAUGGCUGCAGAGGAUAAGUACUCUCAGAAGGAAGACAAAUAUGAGGAAGAGAUCAAGGUCCUUUCUGACAAGCUGAAGGAGGCUGAGACUCAGGCUGAGUUUGCGAGAGGUCAGUAACUAAAUUGGAGAAAAGCAUUGAUGACUUAGACAUCUUUUUGGCUCAUGCCAAAGAAGAAAACCUUAGUAUGCAUCAGAUGCUGGAUCAGACUUUACUGGAGUUAAACAACAUGAGAAAACCUCCUUAGCUGCGGCCACAUUCUUUUAUUUUAUUUUUUGUUGUUUUGUUUCUAAACACCUGCUUACCAUGAUACCCCUUAAAUGCAUUUUUAUUUACUUUUACCACCGUCACAGAAACAUCCACAAAACACCAGCUAGGGCAGGAGGUAGGGAGAAAACACCAAAAACGACAAGCCUAUGUUAGGGCAAUAAUGGUUUAAAUGUGCCAUUUCCCAGGUUGACAUUGCCACACUUUACGUAGAGUUUAGCCACACAGUUUGCUUAGUCAGUGGAAGACUCCUUACUGAAGCAGAAAGAUUUCCACUCAAAGUGCCAAUGAUAGGGGCAACAGGAAGAUUGAUGUCGGAGACAAUCAGUUGUGGAUUGGUGCUACUUUAAACAAAAUGUCCCCUGUGGUCUUUUGUUCAAUAUUGUACAAUUUAGAAUUUUGUCCCAACACUAUUUUGUCUUGAGUUUUACUGCAAGAUGAGACUAUGGAUCCAGUAUGCCUGUGUUCACUGAAGCCAAGGAUUUGAAAGCCACACUGCUCUUCUAAGGUUUCCAUUCCUUUCUGAUUGGCACACUUGCAGCCCAUUACAACUUCUGUAGAAUAGCAUUCAAUGUGGAUUUCUACUCUUUCCCAUUGUCCAUGUUAAAGUGAAAGAUUUAGGCACUACAUACAAUUGGUAAAGAAAAUACAUUUUCUUGAGAGUUAUAACUAUAUGUAAACAUUCUAUAAAGAUAUGAAAUAAAAUGCACAUUGUAGGACAUUUUCUAAAAA
rnacentral:lncRNA from 1 species